rnacentral:rRNA from 1 species
GACGAACGCUGGCGGCGUGCCUAAUACAUGCAAGUAGAACGCACAGUUUAUACCGUGGCUUGCUACACCAUAGACUGUGAGUUGCGAACGGGUGAGUAACGCGUAGGUAACCUGCCUGGUAGCGGGGGAUAACUAUUGGAAACGAUAGCUAAUACCGCAUAAUAUUAAUUAUUGCAUGAUAAUUAAUUGAAAGGUGCAAUUGCACCACUACCAGAUGGACCUGCGUUGUAUUAGCUAGUAGGUGAGGUAACGGCUCACCUAGGCGACGAUACAUAGCCGACCUGAGAGGGGGAUCGGCCACACUGGGACUGAGACACGGCCCAGACUCCUACGGGAGGCAGCAGUAGGGAAUCUUCGGCAAUGGACGAAAGUCUGACCGAGCAGCGCCGCGUGAGUGAAGAAGGUUUUCGGAUCGUAAAGCUCUGUUGUAAGAGAAGAACGGGUGUGAGAGUGGAAAGUUCACACUGUGACGGUAUCUUACCAGAAGGGGACGGCUAACUACGU